AUUGAACGCUGGCGGCAGGCCUAACACAUGCAAGUCGAACGAGUGGCGGACGGGUGAGUAAUGUCUGGGAAACUGCCUGAUGGAGGGGGAUAACUACUGGAAAAGGUAGCUAAUACCGCAUACCAUCGGAUUGGCCCAGAUGGGAUUAGCUAGUAGGUGGGGUAAAGGCUCACCUAGGCGACGAUCCCUAGCUGGUCUGAGAGGCUGACCAGCGACACUGGAACUGGGACGCGGGCCAGACUCCCACGGGAGGCAGCAGUGGGGACAAUUGCACAAUGGGCGCAAGCCUGAUGAAGCCAUGCCGCGUGUAUGAAGAAGGCCUUCGGGUUGUAAAGGACUUUCAGCGGGGAGGCGUUACCCGCAGAAGAAGCACCGGCUAACUCCGUGCCAGCAGCCGCGGUAAUAC
rnacentral:rRNA from 1 species